UGGCUGCCACCCGCACGACCCAGCCAGGGCCGGGGACAAACUGCAACCGAGGUGAAGACUCUCUAAGAAGAGAAUUUCUUUUCUAACUCUUGGCUGAGUUCUGGGCAAGUAAAUCUCGAUAAACACUAGGGAGUUGAUCAGCAGCACUUCUUAAAACCAUAUAAGACUCAGGGAGACUCUCUUGAUGACAGAUGCUGGAUAUAACCAAGAAGCAACCACACGGACUGUUUGGGCUUCCGUUUACUGGAGUAAUUAUUCUACCUGGAUGUGACCAUCUUGACAGUCCUGUGAAGUUGGUACCGAUAUCAGCUCCGUUUCACAGAUGGGGAAACUGAGGCCUUGUUCAAGGUCACAGCUGGGAAGCUGUGAAGCUGGGGUGCAAAUCCAGGCUGGUCUUUCUGUCCUUCCAUUGUUAAUGACAACACAGCGCAUCGUUUUAUAGCUAAGCUUGUACUUAUUCAUCCAUCAUGGGCUCCUGGGAUCAUCUUCCUGGUGGCAUCUUUCCCAGGGAUGGUCCUGCUAGAGCUGUCAAGUGGGGCUUAGGUUUAUGCCUGGGUUAAAAAUCCUCUAAAACUCCUUUUGGAGCAUCUGAGGCGUCUGAUGCCUUGAUUGCCCUGGGUGACAUCAUGUUUAAGUUAGUCUGACCUCCCUGAGCUCAUUUCUUUGUCCUGGUCACCUCUGCUUCCAUCAAAAAUAACAGGUUGCUGAUAAGAUGGCUCUCAGCUUCCCUGCGCGGAUGGUGGACUCUGAAUCUGCACUCAGAGGAGGUCUCUCAAGUUCAAAAAAGCCCUCAUGCUCUGUAUUUUGACAGGUUGAGAAAUCCAAUCCAUUUAUUUUGAAAACCCAUUAAGCCCGGGCAGUAUGGGAUAUUUAGAAAGGCCAGAAUUUUGCUUCUGGUCAGAAGGUCAGUGCUGUCAUAAAAUAACAGCUAAAGGAAGCAAAACAAAACAUAUUUUAUUAUACGGCUGUUAUUCCCAAACAUUCCUUAAAAAUAUACUUUCAGUUAAAAUAAGACAAAAUAAAAACACAGCACAUUGAAUUGCCGGAAAUUGCCACCACUCUAACCUCUUUGUUCCGAGUACUUACUCAAUUUUGCACGCCCAGUUCUCAGACCAGGACAGCCACAUAGUAAAUGCUCAAUAAGUGUUCAAUAAACGAGCCUCA